rnacentral:siRNA from 1 species
UUUUAAUAGGGGUUACAACU